ACUGUUUGGCAAUAUCGUCCGUCC
rnacentral:siRNA from 1 species